rnacentral:rRNA from 1 species
CACGUAGGGCGCAAGCGUUGUCCGGAAUUAUUGGGCGUAAAGAGCUCGUAGGCGGUCUGUUGCGUCCGCUGUGAAAACUCGGGGCUUAACCCCGAGCCUGCAGUGGAUACGGGCAGACUAGAGGUAGGUAGGGGAGAAUGGAAUUCCCGGUGUAGCGGUGAAAUGCGCAGAUAUCGGGAGGAACACCGGUGGCGAAGGCGGUUCUCUGGGCCUUACCUGACGCUGAGGAGCGGAAAGCGUGGGGAGCGAACAGG